GACGUAGGAGGCGAGCGUUGUCCGGAUUCAUUGGGCGUAAAGAGCACGCAGGCGGUUUGGCAAGUCGGAUGUGAAAACCCGGAGCUCAACUCCGGACCUGCAUCCGAAACUGCCCGACUAGAGGUAGGUAGGGGAGAUCGGAAUUCCUGGUGUAGCGGUGAAAUGCGCAGAUAUCAGGAGGAACACCGGUGGCGAAGGCGGAUCUCUGGGCCUUACCUGACGCUCAGGUGCGAAAGCUAGGGAGCGAACAGG
rnacentral:rRNA from 1 species